rnacentral:rRNA from 1 species
UAGGGAAUCUUCCGCAAUGGGCGAAAGCCUGACGGAGCAACGCCGCGUGAGUGAUGAAGGUCUUCGGAUCGUAAAACUCUGUUAUUAGGGAAGAACAAAUGUGUAAGUAACUAUGCACGUCUUGACGGUACCUAAUCAGAAAGCCACGGCUAACUACGUGCCAGCAGCCGCGGUAAUACGUAGGUGGCAAGCGUUAUCCGGAAUUAUUGGGCGUAAAGCGCGCGUAGGCGGUUUUUUAAGUCUGAUGUGAAAGCCCACGGCUCAACCGUGGAGGGUCAUUGGAAACGGGAAAACUUGAGUGCAGAAGAGGAAAGUGGAAUUCCAUGUGUAGCGGUGAAAUGCGCAGAGAUAUGGAGGAACACCAGUGGCGAAGGCGACUUUCUGGUCGGUAACUGACGCUGAUGUGCGAAAGCGUGGGAUCAAACAGG